CAUAUUAAGGGCUAAUAUUUGGUGGAGGUACUAAGGAAGGUCCAAGGAACCCCCCAUAUGUUAAUCUGACGCGCUCGAGUUACUACACAAAUCUCCUCUUGGGCUUCUAUACUAUUAUUAAGAAAAUUUAGUUUGUCAUUUAAA